AUCGCUACGGAGCGUAAGCGAUUGGCAUCCUGGCUACGCGGCCAGGCGAGUUGGUGCACGAAAUUCUUCGUUCUUAGCGUCCAUACUUUAGUCCGAGUGCGUCUUACAUGGCCAAAGAAAUUUAGACCUUAUGUUUCAGGCGUUAUAGUAUACUAUACUGUACUGUAUAACUCCUUAAACAUAGGUCUAACUUCCUUUGACCUUGUAAAACGCGCAUCGAAUCCAACGGUUUUUUAAUAAUUUGCCAAUUUAUUCUGCGCCUAGUGGUAUUCCAUCUGUCUUUGUCCAAUGUGCAUUGCAUCUCACUCUCUUAUUAAGCAAAAUGUGAGACGAAAAUACAAAUUGGACCAUGAUAUUGGAUUGGAAAGCAUAAGUUUAGUUUUUUUUUUUUUAUAAGUUGCUACAUGAGUAUGUUGUGUUUGGCCAGAAACUAUUUCGUCCUAAAACAAGAUUGAUUGAAAUGGCAUUGGUAUAAUAAAGAACUGCCAUUUCAAAAGAUAAACAAGCUAACAUGGAUCAUUACUAUGUUAUAACUGAAUGGUGUUUAGCAAAAAUGUGUCAACCCACAUUCAUUUUGCAAUAUGGCGUCAUUUUUUUGAGUUGACAUCUCAUUGCGUAAUUAAUCUGGGUUGACACAUUAUCGCUAAACACCAUAAUAUACCGGGUGUGGCCUGUAACACGAGCAAAUAAUUAAAACAUAGAUUGUACUCCUCAAACGGUGACACUUUUGUUCUACAACUUUUAAAAAUUAUGAAGUAUUUGAUUUGACUCUCUAUUUUUCAUACAAAAUAAAUAUUAUCUUCAAUGGACGCCAUCGCCACGCCAUAUCAUUGUGAUUGACGUUGCUCGUCACGCCUAAACAUAACAAAAUUCGCAGUACAUUGCGUCUUAGAAUAAACUUUAUUAUUGUGAGUGUAUUAAAAAUCAUACCACAAGUUAUUUUUAAAAGUCGCUGAACAAAUGUUAAAAAAAUUACAAACAAAUUAAACUGUAGGCUGUACUCCUCAUACUCCUGUACAGCCUACAGUAAAAUUUUUUGCUCAUAUUACAUGCCACACCCGGUAUAAUACAGAACAGUUUAUCCUUUAAUGAGCCUUAGACUGAGUUUCCACCAGAGAUGUGCGAGGAUGCAUAGCGAGGGAUGUGUUUGUUAACGUUGAGCCAGGAAAACAAAUUAAGUAAGUGAUUCUCUUGGUUCUGAUAUACACAACCCACACAUCGUUCAAAAUGGCGGCCGAUUUUCGAAAUGGUCCUAGCGCGCUGAGAUUUGGCAUGGCGAGGAAAAGAGGACUGAUACCUAUGAAGAAUUUUUUUUUUAAUAAAAUGACGUGUAAAAGCGAAAAAUAUAGCCACUUUUAUUUUAUAAUAUUUUAAACUUUCUCGUUUUGAACACAUAUUAACUCUCAUUAUAGACGGGUCUAACGUGAAUUUUAUUCAAUUACCUUGAUUUACCGACGUUUCGACACAGGUUUCACUGGUCGUGGUCGCGGCUGACUGAUGUCCCAGCAAAAUGUCAAAACAGAGAUUUGUGCGUCUACCCGACGAAAAGUCACUUUAAUUUUGUAUGGCAACUUUUAAACGGUGCGAGAUAGAUGGGGGGUGCUCGACCAAAUGUCAUAGAGGGCCUGCGCAUCCUCGCACAUAUCUAGUGGAAACGUAGCCUAAUAGACGAACAUAUAUGUGUGACGAAUAAACUAUUAUCUAUCUAUAAUAUAUCUUCGCUGACGUGUCUUGUGAUGAGCGGGCGUAUAAUGGAUGCGAUUAUGAUAGGCUAAAGUAUCCGUCUAUUCGUAAACACUUCGACAACCAUGUCCAUCAUAGUCCGCGGGGAACUACCUGACAACCUCAAAAUGUAUGGCGAAACACGAUAGUGAAAUAGGGCCUUGGAGCCUACUCAACUCGUCAAAGGGACAGGUCAUAAGUUGCCGCCAUAUGUCAGAGUCGAAUAGACUCCCUGGUCUAAAGGUUCCGUCACACAGGCGCGUUUUCCAGGCGGGCCGUGAGCGCGGCGCUCGCAAAACGCGCCUGUGUGACGGAGCCUUAAAAGGUUGCAUCUAGUGACAUGUCCCAAAAGUGUUUAACUCGUGACAUAAUGAUGCUAUUUACCGAUAUUACGAACACUAUUACCUAUAUCACAUUCAAAGUUUAUUCCAAAACUAUGUUUUUAAUAAAUAUUUUAGUAUCACCUAGAUUGUUGGAUAUAUGUAAUAUAGUUAUGUUGGUUUUAAUUAAAUAUAAAUAGGUAUAAUUCUUCAAUAUUGACUGAUAUAUAAACAAAAAUAUUUAAUGAUUCUAUAAAAGUUUUCCAUUGUAAUAGAUAGCUCUCUAAUAAAUGAAUAUUUAAAGAUGUUAUCAAUGCAUAAUUAUACCUAUUUCAUACUAUCAAAUAUAUAUUGAUUGAGCAUGAUGUGUAAAAUCUAAGACAAUGUCUUGCGUCGAAUUUGACAGAUAAACGAGAUGGCGCUGUACAGCUCCAUAGAUUUUGCGGUAUAGUGUGUAGCUUUCAGAUAGAGCUCGACGGCUAAUCCUAUUGUCUAUUGUUAAGUAAAACCGCACGUGCUACUUACCUGCAAAAAAGGGUCUUCAUUAUUCUAUUUGGCACCUGAGCGCGGGCUAGUCCAACGCUCAAAAAACCAGUGUAGGUGCGCUCUCCGAUAACGCGCCUUUGUUACGCAUCUCGAUGACACAUUUUAGACUGGUUCUGUUGUGUUCGACUCGCCGGCACUCAGUAACUGAAGUACGUAUUUUUUAUGCAGGUGGUUGUGGCACGUGGCACGAGCGGUUUUACUGAACAAUAGACAAUAGGAUUAGCCGUCGAGCUCUAUUUGAAAGCUACACACUAUAACUAUGCUUGUCAAAAGUUGACGUUUGACAAUUCAGUGACCGCAAAACGUAUGGCGCAGUACAGCGCCAUCUGUUUUGGAUGUGAAACUAAGGGGCACGUUUUUUUUUUAGACUCCUAUUACAAUCAAUUCUCUUUGAUACUAUAUUAGGCAGUAUUAUUUGCAGUCACUUGCUCACAUUAUUAGUUAUCGUUUUACGUACGUUAUACAUAUACUGUAAUUGUUCAUUAUACUAAGUUCAUAUUUACACAAGUGCGACGUUAAAUUUUCUUGCCAAUCUUGUUUAUAGUAUUUUUCACCACACCAGCUCGGAAAGGCUUUUUUACUUUGCGCUUCAAAAACUGAUAGCAAAGUUGCAUUUUAUUCACAUGUGAGGCAAAGUAAUCAAAUGCAAAUUUUGAGUUGUUAUCUUAUGUUUCCUGGUUGAAUUGACUUUUAAAUGAUGAUUUGGGUUGAUAAAUAUUUCAUAACAUUCAUUUGGAUUUGAUUUGGUUUGAUUGUGUUUGAUAUUUUACAUUUAAUAUCUGCUUCGGGUUGGUGUGGUGAAAAAUUUUGUGUUUCACUCGGGGGCAAAUUUUGUUUAACCCUCGUGCUUUGAAACCCUCGCAACGCUCAAGAUUCCAUUUCUCGAACCACUCGCUACGCUCGUGGUUCAAUUAUGGAAUCUUUCGCCUGCUCGGGUAUCAAUAUCAAUAUUAGCGCGAGCGGUUAAACAACAACUUUGCCCCCUUGUAAAACAAAUAACUAUAUCUCAUAGGUAGCUUUAGUCCGGUGACAGCUGGCAUCUCAAUGAAAUUUUUGCUUUUUAGGGUAACAUUUCAUUUCUGAGCGCAGCUGCACUACUGCUCCGACACGUCGAUGUUGUUGUCAAUUUCCAAGGUAAAAUGUAUGACAAGACAAUGAAUGACAGUAACGUCGCAACAGUAGUGCAGCUGUCGUUGGAAAUGGACUGUCACAUUUAAGGUUAUAAAUUGUAUGGAGAUGACAGCAGACGCCGUACCCGAGCUGUGUCAAAAAUAUUAAUUAUAUCCUCUAGCCGCCCAGAGACCUAUAAAAAGGUCUCCUGUUCCAUUCUAAUUUGAACUUUGUGUUGACAAAAUUAAAAUUUCAUUUUGCUUGGCAAGGUUUGACUUAUGGGUGGCUAGAGGAUAUAAAGCCGAUCGAAAUAAUGCCAAAAUAUUACGUGAAAAUUCAACUCGUCUAAAGUUUUUUUUUAACUUAAAUGUCUAUCUAUUCUUUCAGUUUGAGCAGUUAGGUCACUCUUCCAUUCUUAUUAUAUUUCGAUGGUCAAGCAAAUGUUUUAUUUAUGUAACUAUGUCUUCAAUACUUGACAGCCCCACUUUUAACGUGGGUAACAGCCGGCCAUUAGUUUUAGUCUUUCAUAUGUGACUGCAAAUAAAUGUGUCGUGCUGUAUAAAAAGGUUACCUGGCUGAAUAAAAGACCCAUUAUCAACGGAAUAUAAAUGCGAGUGUUCUUUUGUACAGAUUGACACAUAAUAUAUGCCUGCCCCAAACAAAUUCAAUAAUUAAAUACUUAGGCUAAGUAGCGAUGUUAGAAAAAAAUACUAUUUUAAUAUAAUUAAAGCGUUUAUAUUUUUAACAUAACUCUUUAAACCCCCUUUAUUCCACUUUUGUAACCAAUGGUGUUAGGUUAAGUGUAAGUAAUGUUACGUGUAUGUAAAUUUUGUAAAAGUUAUUAGUAUACCCUCAGGUACCUACUGUCUAGCGUUUGUAUUAUAAGAUUUGGAUGACAGGAUCCUGUGACCACAAAACGAGUAAGUGAUAAUCCGUUACAUAUUUUAAUCGUGUAUAAUAAAUGUCAGAUUAUUAGCUAAA